rnacentral:rRNA from 1 species
AGUGAACGCUGGCGGUAGGCCUAACACAUGCAAGUCGAACGGCAGCACAGUAAGAGCUUGCUCUUACGGGUGGCGAGUGGCGGACGGGUGAGGAAUACAUCGGAAUCUACUUUUUCGUGGGGGAUAACGUAGGGAAACUUACGCUAAUACCGCAUACGACCUACGGGUGAAAGCAGGGGAUCUUCGGACCUUGCGCGAUUGAAUGAGCCGAUGUCGGAUUAGCUAGUUGGCGGGGUAAAGGCCCACCAAGGCGACGAUCCGUAGCUGGUCUGAGAGGAUGAUCAGCCACAUUGGAACUGAGACACGGUCCAGACUCCUACGGGAGGCAGCAGUGGGGAAUAUUGGAUAAUGGGCGCAAGCCUGAUCCAGCCAUACCGCGUGGGUGAAGAAGGCCUUCGGGUUGUAAAGCCCUUUUGUUGGGAAAGAAAAGCAGCAGGUUAAUACCCCGCUGUUCUGACGGUACCCAAAGAAUAAGCACCGGCUAACUUCGUG